CUCUAAAUGGUCGUGAUGUGGCCUGUAUCUGCCAGCAAAAAGGAACUCAAUUUGGGACAAUUUACUCGGCAGUCCCAGCACUGAUGCACCUCGGGGACAAAGAAUAGAGCGAAUGAAAGUGGAGGAAGAUAGAAUCGGAGAGGACAAUCUGGUUAUGUUGCAUCUUCGGUCACAGUUUACCCAUCAGAUCAAGUUCAAGGAGAGUACAACUGAACUGAAUUGAAAAGAUAAGUCAAUACUGAAAGUAAUUGAGCCUUCUCCUCAUGAGAGGAGUGAUUGUACUGUAUUGUCUUGCUCAUCAACUAAAACAAAAUACAUAUGCAUUAUUGUGACUCCUGAUCACACUUUGUAUUUGCUCCUUUUAGGGACAAUGUGUUUCAAUAAAGCAUGUGGAGCAGGAUAAUUAUGACUGCAAAUGACCUCAACGCUAAUGUCGGGACUUUAAUGUUCCACUACCGCGCCGCAUUUAAAGGGAAUAAAAGGGUCAGUAUUUGACCAUAAUUGAAGUCGGCUGGUACCACUGGACAGCAACGCAGAUCUCGCAGAUCUGCCGGCCUGUGCUGUAUCCACUCUGAGAUACACUACACGCAAUACUAGAUGUACCCCAGUCAUGAAGAUAUGUAGAGAUUCUGUGUUAUCCCACAUCUAAGCAUGUGACCAAAUCAGGCUUAAACCACCUCUCAAAUUUCUCACAGAUCUCAGACAAAAACCUAAAACUAAAGAUUAACUUGAACAGGUACUUCAACAUUUUCUUGAUUUUGCAAAACAGCAUAAAAUGGAAAAUUCUAAUCAUAUUAUUAUGGGGUUUUAGUACUUAGCUUAUUCAGCUUCUCUAACAUAGGAACAUAGUUUGCCUAGUAUGUAAUUGCCACAAGCUUGGUGUUUGCCUUAAAUUCACUUGUGUCACGCCCACAUGCUGAAAUCCAUGGUAAUAAUUAAAAUAAUUAUCGCCUUCAUUUUGUACAAUGGAGCAUGUUCAUUUUCCCUGUUUCGAAGUUCAAAUAUGUGUUUUGUCAGCCUGGCCAUUUGGGUCAGUAUAACAUCCCAGCUCUGAUAUGCGCAGCACUCAUCUAUGUAACUGACUGCUCGGCUCCCAGAUAAUUACACUAUGAGCUUGACGUAGUAUGAGUGUCUUGAAAGUGUGUGGGUGUGUGUGUGUGUGCGCGUGCGUGUGUGUGUGUGUGAGGGGGGGGAUUAUCUGCAGAAACAUGUCAUUUCCACUGCUCCUGUCCUUCUGGUAGACAGAUACAAUAUUAAGAGCUACAAAUCGGAGUGUGAGUUGAGAGGAGACGUUGAGUAGGUGUGGGGAUGGGGAGAUGAGGCGAGAGAAGGUAGAGAGAUGACAGUAAUAAUAGCACAUAGACAAUUGUCAGGGAGGGAGACAGCAGCAAUUGUGUGCAGUAGGAGAAGUCAUGUCAAACGACAAGGUAGAGACAAAACGAAUAUCAGAUAAAUCUAGGUAAAUGUCAGAAAAAGAAGAAUCCAGUAGUGCUGUUUUAUCUCGGUCAUAUUAUGAAUGAGUUCACCUGAUGUUUUUAUGAUAUGCUCAGUUAUAUUUAGUAUUUUAUAUAAUGUAAAGCACUGAAUGUCUUCAAUUAUUUUUCAGGUUGCUGGUAAAAAUAAAAAUACAGUAGUACCUCAAGGGUCAGUGAAAAACAAUUAUAACGGAACAUUUUCAGGAAUUUAUAAGCAACUGAUUUAGCAGAAACACUGCAACAACAUAGACAACAUUACUCUCAAUCAUAUGUUUUUCCUCUGGGCAGAAUGACUAUUUAUUAUUGCGUCACUGAUGAUCUGUCUGUCUGUCUGUCUUAUACAGCCCCAGGUAACCAAUGUGGGAACACCAGAAAGAGCAGCACAUUGACCAUUUGAUUGAUGCAAUAUGACUGUCACGUCAACUAACAGAAGCAGAGAUCAUUCAAACAAAAUAUCCACGAGAUCUCCCUCCAGACCUGCAGAGGGCAGAAAAAAAAAAACAGCCAAAUCACUGUUCAUCAAUUUUCCUGUCAGAUGCCAGG